rnacentral:rRNA from 1 species
GAUGAACGCUGGCGGCGUGCCUAAUACAUGCAAGUCGAGCGAACAGACGAGGAGCUUGCUCCUCUGACGUUAGCGGCGGACGGGUGAGUAACACGUGGAUAACCUACCUAUAAGACUGGGAUAACUUCGGGAAACCGGAGCUAAUACCGGAUAAUAUAUUGAACCGCAUGGUUCAAUAGUGAAAGACGGUUUUGCUGUCACUUAUAGAUGGAUCCGCGCCGCAUUAGCUAGUUGGUAAGGUAACGGCUUACCAGGCAACGAUGCGUAGCCGACCUGAGAGGGUGAUCGGCCACACUGGAACUGAGACACGGUCCAGACUCCUACGGGAGGCAGCAGUAGGGAAUCUUCCGCAAUGGGCGAAAGCUUGACGGAGCAACGCCGCGUGAGUGAUGAAGGUCUUCGGAUCGUAAAACUCUGUUAUUAGGGAAGAACAAAUGUGUAAGUAACUAUGCACGUCUUGACGGUACCUAAUCAGAAAGCCACGGCUAACUACGUG